rnacentral:rRNA from 1 species
UGAGCUUGAUCCUGGCUCAGAUUGAACGCUGGCGGCAGGCCUAACACAUGCAAGUCGAGCGGGGUUUUCGGACCUAGCGGCGGACGGGUGAGUAAUGCGUAGGAAGCUACCCGAUAGAGGGGGAUACCAGUUGGAAACGACUGUUAAUACCGCAUAAUGUCUACGGACCAAAGUGUGGGACCUUCGGGCCACAUGCUAUCGGAUGCGCCUACGUGGGAUUAGCUAGUUGGUGAGGUAAUGGCUCACCAAGGCGACGAUCUCUAGCUGGUUUGAGAGGAUGAUCAGCCACACUGGAACUGAGACACGGUCCAGACUCCUACGGGAGGCAGCAGUGGGGAAUAUUGGACAAUGGGCGCAAGCCUGAUCCAGCCAUGCCGCGUGUGUGAAGAAGGCCUUCGGGUUGUAAAGCACUUUCAGCGAGGAGGAAGGGAGUUGUGUUAAUAGCACGGCUUUUGACGUACUCGC